rnacentral:piRNA from 1 species
GGAGAGAGGAAGCGCAAGUCUGUUC